UACGUAGGGUGCAAGCGUUAAUCGGAAUUACUGGGCGUAAAGCGUGCGCAGGCGGUUGUGUAAGUCUGUCGUGAAAUCCCCGGGCUCAACCUGGGAAUUGCGAUGGAGACUGCACGGCUAGAGUGUGUCAGAGGGGGGUAGAAUUCCACGUGUAGCAGUGAAAUGCGUAGAUAUGUGGAGGAACACCGAUGGCGAAGGCAGCCCCCUGGGAUAACACUGACGCUCAUGCACGAAGGCGUGGGGAGCAAACAGG
rnacentral:rRNA from 1 species